rnacentral:rRNA from 1 species
GACGAACGCUGGCGGCGUGCUUAACACAUGCAAGUCGAACGGAAAGGCCCUGCUUGCAGGGUACUCGAGUGGCCAACGGGUGAGUAACACGUGGGUGAUCUGCCCUGCACCUCGGGAUAAGCCUGGGAGACUGGGUCUAAUACCGGAUAGGAGCCAUUUUUAGCGUGAUGGUUGGAAAGUUUUUUCGGUGUAGGAUGAGCUCGCGGCCUAUCAGCUUGUUGGUGGGGUAAUGGCCUACCAAGGCGGCGACGGGUAGCCGGACUGGGAGGGUGGACGGCCACAUUGGGACUGAGAUACGGCCCAGACUCCUACGGGAGGCCGCAGGGGGGAAUAUUGCACAAGGGGCGCAAGCCUGAUGCAGCGAGGCCGCGUGGGGGAUGACGGCCUUCGGGUUGAAAACUCCUUGCGCUAGGGACGAAGCUUUUUGUGACGGUACCUAGAUAAGAAGCACCGGCUAACUACGUG